CUCCCUAAUCUUCUCACUUCCUCCCUCCUCUCAUUCUCACCUCCUCUCUCUCUCUCUCCCUCGCAGCAGCGGGAGCGGCCGAUGGCGGAUCCCGCGGCGACGGCGACAGCGACAGCGGAGGUGGCGGGCGACAACGGCGAUAGUGGCGGCCAGCUCGGCACCGCCUUCGACAAGGAGGCGCGCGGCCGGGAGCCGGCGGCGCCCGUGAGGGGGCGGGCGACGACUGGGAGCGUGCGGCGGCUGCUCGGCGCGACCUAUGGCGACGGCCGGUAGCGGGCGGCGGCGGCUCCGCGCGACCUCGGGCGACGGCCGGGCGCCACAGCCGCCGACGAGGCGACGACCGGGAGCGGCGCCAUCCCGGUCCCCCGCCGUGCGCCGCCGGCGAGGAGGAGGAGGAGGCGGCCGGGAGUGGCGCCGCCGCCACCGGGAUGCUAGGGUUUCUUUUUUUUUGAGAUUUUUUCGGUUUUUUAUUUUUGUGUGAGCACCCGUAUUUUUCCGUGCGGGUGCGCCACCUGCACGCGGGGCAGACGGGCCUUCGGUCCGCACACGAAUUUUUUUUUUGGUAUGAAAAAAUAGUUUCUGUUUUCUGUAGUAGGAGGCGGCCCACUAGAUUGAAGAAUUAGACAAUAGAUUGUCCUUAAUGAAAAGUACUGCUCAGUACUAUUUCUGUCAAAAAGAUUGUCACUAUGAUUUUCGUUUUGUCCCACAAAGAUCUUUGGAGUUACUAUUUAAUAGAGUUCAUUAUAGUCUUUUUUUUUCCCCUCAAACUUUAAUCUUCGGCUUUUCACUAAACAACUUAGAAUUGUAGUAUUUUUUAUGACGGAGGAGUACGUUAGGUUAUGAGUGCGAUCUUGCAAGAUGCUACCUUUGGUCAGAUGCUGUUUUCAUUGUGUGCCUCAACGAAGAAAAAAAAGGGUCAUAUGCCAAAGGGGAGGAAGAGUAUCAUAUAAGCCAUAAGCUCUAGCCAUGGAUCGUCAUUCGUCGUCACCUGCUAACUAAGCCAUGGCGCGCGCACUUAUUAUCGCCACCGGUGUAUCUAUACUGAUCGGAAUUAUAAGUCGCCUGCAAGCACGGCAGCGCCGUUAUGAUGCAGGCAUGCUUCCAUCUCUCGUUGCAUGUAUAUAUCCUCUGCAGUUAAUCCUUUUCCCCCCUCGCUCAGUUAUGUGUAACAUCGAUCUUGAUCGUCCUUGUGUUCUUAUUUGAUCUGCAGGAGCAGUACUGCAUAUAUAUGUAUAUGUAUAUGCGGAGAGUUAGCAUAUAUCCUGGGAAAGUGCCUCGAUUCAUCAUCUCCAGUCCGGAGACGAUGUGAACUGCCGUACGUCGUCUACGACUAGCUAGGUUUCUCGGCCGGGAACCUUACCUCACUUAAUUACGAAGCACAAAGAUGGCGAAGCAGCAGCCCGUCCUGAUCAGGCUACUUCAGGUACGUGUUAUUAGGAGGUGGAAUAGAAGGCAUGCGGAUGAUCCGGUGGUGCGAUCGAGUUGCCGGCCCGCGACGAGGGAGUUGAAGAAUAGCUAGAAGAAGAGGAAAGAGAUAAGUACUGUUCACUGGGCCUCUGGCCUAUUAUAAUUUGUCUAUGGGCUGAGAUUAGGCCCAUCUUAACUUAAGCUGCUCUUUUUUUCCUUGGGACUAAUAGUAGUAGCCCAUCCUCCCCGACCCCCGAACGAGGCCCAUCAAUCAUCAUCAGGUUAUUGGUGCAUCGUUCGUCUGUCUGUCGUAGCCGUGUGGGGUCACCGACCGAGUGAGUGAAGACUCGUUGAUGCAACUCGCGCGCUGUGCCCCCCUCUCCCUCAGGGGAGGUGCAGGCCGGCAGCCCUUUAACCGAGCAAAUAAGAUGCAAAUGCUCUCGCAUUCGCAUCCAUUAGGGGAAAUCCUCUACUCUGAUUAGACAAAGCUAGACGCAUCCAUUAGGGGAAAUCCGGGACUCUAAUAAGCAAGCUAGAUCGAGGGCCUGGAUAGCUGAGGCGAAAUGGUGAAGGAAGAACAAGAUUUGUGCGGGAUCAAUGUCUCGGAGAGGGGGAAGAUGAAUUUGGAGCUCGAGCUGCUGAUGAAACAGUGUAGGAAUAUGGCCGAACACUAUCACGAGCUGGAGAAAGAUUUGAAGCUCCAUGACGUGCUCCUCCUCCUGCAAAUCCUCCCAGCAGUUCGCCAAGAUUUGGGAUGGAUUCGUCUCUACAUCAACAAUGCUGCGGACCAGGACAACACUCAACUUCUGCACCAACAGUGGAAUGCGCAGUUGGCGAUCAACCCUCCUGCCAAAGAUUUACAGCACAUCCUCUUCCUGACCUAUUUGCCACGAGGACCUGGGAAUCAGCAAAAAGUUCUGAGGGAGACCUUUAACAACCACAAGUGGGAGCUCAAAGAAAAGAUCAAGAGCAACAAUACGAGCCAUGUCGAUAUAUGCAAACUGUUAUAUGCAAAGAAAAAUAAAUCUCAGAAAGACGACGUCGACGCUACAUUUAAACUUAACAUGAUCGAGCUCUCAUUGAGUGAAGAUCCGAACUCGCUGCCUUGCAUUGCUCUCUGCCUGGUAUAUCAAAGCAACAAAUCCCCCAUGCUCUACCUUAUUCAAUCACUUGUACAUCGUUUGCAGAUUCAAGUACGACCAAGUGCCCAAAUCGAACAGAAGAAAAUAGAUGCUGAUAAUGGGAAAUACUCUGAAGAUGAAGAUGACUAUAAACGUUCACACAAGUACCUGAUGAAGGGCAAAUAUAAAGUUGUUGAUGAACAUAGUUAUAACAACAUUCAAAGCGCCAUUACCUUGCGUGACACUAUUGUUCGUCGUUUGGAUACAUGGCUGCAACAACACCAGGACAUAGCAAGCACAAUCGAGGCACUCCUUCCAUUUCAGAAUGACCUUGACGAUUUUAUACUGGAAAAGAUGAAUGAUAUGCUAUCAGUAGUACAUAGAAUGCUUGUGAAAAGAAAAGGUACCCUCAAGGGCUCCCAGGUGUUUGAAGAGAAUAAGAGGGCAUGUUUACGUCAGGAGCCUGCUAUUGAAAGUUCUCAGAUUAAAGACUUCUCAAAUCUCGAUAUUUUUACAACCACUAAACAUCAAAUUUUGAAUACUUCACAAGUUUCACAAAAUGAAGCAGUAAUUACUCAACAGAGUCAGUCUGCUGUCCCGGUUGACAUGAAGCAAUAUGAUUUCUAUGCCCGCAACCAACAACAGUUUCCAGUAAACCUUCCUGAUUUUCGGCCGGAAGCUUUGAAUGCAUUAUAUGUGCUUCAAACUGGCGAAGUAAUAACCAUUCACGGUCAAAGUCAGGUAUGUUCCGGAUGUGCUUACCAUUUGUUUCUCCACCUUGUUUUUUUUUCCGUGUUGAGGCAUACAUGGUAAAAAGGUAAAUCACAGAGAAAUAUAUACUUGGAUCAAUUGAAUUGUCAAUGCCUAGAUAUCCAAAACCGUGUAGAUAUAUAUGUAUAUCAUGCCCGGAUAUUACGGGCUUGUGAUCUUUGCAAAAAAAAAGGGUAUUUUUUCAUAAAAGCAUUCUUACACCAUCUUUAAAGCUAGGAUGGCUAGAAAGAGCUAGCAUACGAGGGAUUAAGAUAGGAGUAACCACGUAUUUCUAACCCUUUAUUUAAUCCAGAGGGGUUCAAUAAUGGAACCCUGGCUACAGUGUGUUCACACUGAACUGAACGCAUGUGCCAACUGUGCUAGAGUUUACAUCAUCUUAUUAUCAAAUAGGAGUAUAUAUAUAGUUUCAGUCUGCACUGGAUUAGGUUAACUAGAAACUCAUGCAUUGCACGUAUGUUUCAGGAAACAAAUGCAUUCAGAACAAGUACCUACUAAUUCCAUCUGGGUUCAUUGCACGUACGAUACGAUCGUAGACAUACUCCAUUCUCCAAAAACAGUCUUGUACGUAAAAGCUGGGAUACUAGUUAAGUACUAUGGUCGAAUGGGCAAGACGAUAUUGCCAAAUGAUUAACUGGAAUAUAUAAUAUGAUACUCCCUCCGUUUCACAAUGACUUGGACGCUUGUAAAUGGCAUUUCUUGGAUUAUCUCAUAUUAAAAACAUGUAGCGAUAUCCUCAGGCAAGCUCCAUCCCUAUAAAUGAAGCUCAGCAAGGAGAGGCAUUGCAGUGUCUGGAGCAGG